rnacentral:rRNA from 1 species
GACAGAGGUGCCGAGCGUUAGGCGGAAUCACUGGGCUUAAAGCGUGUGUAGGCGGACUUCUAAGUACCUUGUGAAAUCCCACGGCUCAACCGUGGAACUGCUUGGUAUACUGGUCGUCUUGAGCCACCUAGGGGCAACCGGAACAAACGGUGGAGCGGUGAAAUGCGUAGAUACCGUUUGGAACGCCAAUGGUGAAAACAGGUUGCUGGGGGUGUGCCGACGCUGAGACACGAAAGCCAGGGGAGCAAACGGG